rnacentral:miRNA from 1 species
AAAGUUUAAGAUCCUUGAUGUU